GACGAACGCUGGCGGCGUGCCUAAUACAUGCAAGUAGAACGCUGAAGGAGGAGCUUGCUUCUCUGGAUGAGUUGCGAACGGGUGAGUAACGCGUAGGUAACCUGCCUGGUAGCGGGGGAUAACUAUUGGAAACGAUAGCUAAUACCGCAUAAUAGUAGAUGUUGCAUGACAUUUGCUUAAAAGGUGCAAUUGCAUCACUACCAGAUGGACCUGCGUUGUAUUAGCUAGUUGGUGGGGUAACGGCUCACCAAGGCGACGAUACAUAGCCGACCUGGGAGGGUGAUCGGCCACACUGGGACUGAGACACGGCCCAGACUCCUACGGGAGGCAGCAGUAGGGAAUCUUCGGCAAUGGACGGAAGUCUGACCGAGCAACGCCGCGUGAGUGAAGAAGGUUUUCGGAUCGUAAAGCUCUGUUGUAAGAGAAGAACGAGUGUGAGAGUGGAAAGUUCACACUGUGACGGUAUCUUACCAGAAAGGGACGGCUAACUACGU
rnacentral:rRNA from 1 species